AUAUAUCUAUAUUACUUUUUCCCCUAUAGGGUAUGAGCUUGACACGCGCCGCGCGUUUUACAUUUUGAUUGUGCAGAGCCGGCGGGAAUUGCAAUCUGCAUUUCUCUCUCUCCGUACGCAAAUCAUAAUGUAUAACGGUGGCGGUAGAAGAAGAGACGUGGAAGGAAGAAAUGGCGGUGGAAAAUGAAUAGCACGGUACCCAGGAAAGGGUUUUGCAGAAGUUCUCGUCGCAGGAGUGGUACACUCCUCCGCGACAUCAUUUCCAAUGGCCGCGACUCCUAUCGCUCCUCCGUCCACAAAAUUCGAUAUAUUGGUUUGCGGAUAAAAGGCGGUUAUCAAGUUCUUUCCGAAUCAAGUUUACGAUUUUGACCUCGCUGUUUCUCUCUUGGAGAAAUGCCAUGAUACGGUGUCAGGCAGCAGGAAAGUGCUGGAUGGAUGGAAACAAAAUGUGUGAUUCUUCUGUGGUUUUCUGUUCUCCUCUGUUGAUUCUUGUAUUGCUAAUUUAAUGAUUUUGGUAAACUUGAGGACACCCCCAUUGUUUUGACUUUUGAAGAUAUUCUCUACGGAUUACCUUUCCAAUGCAGGUCCCAUGGACACCAUGGCUAUUUGCUGUUUAUAGCUUCUAAAGCUCUCCUGAUGCCAAAGGCAUUUAUCUGGUAGAUCUCACAAUCCAUAUAACUGCUUACUUUUGAAAUUGUUUUUUUUUUUUUUUUUGCUUCUAAUUAAAUGCUACAGGUUGAUAUUGGUUGUAUAGCUACACGAUUGUAGUCCUUGCUGUUAUUAGUUCUUUGUAAAGAGAGAGUUUGUCAUGGAUGUUUAUUUUGAUUUGAAGAUUAUAUCUGAUUACAUAGAUUAUUGUUUAUGUUUGUUAUUCUUAUUUGACAUUAAAAUAACAUUUGAACAGCAUUGGAAGGAUAUUGAAUCUGUUAUCAAUUUGUUCAGUUUCAUGUCUCUUUCAAUGUUGAUAUUAUUGGCAAAGCAGAUUACUAUUGUACAUAGGUCAGCUGCUAAAGUUAUAGAGACACGACUUCCCUUUUGAUCUCAUAUCCUCUCAAAAGAGGCCAUGACAUCACGUGGAGAAGCAUGCUUGUGUUGUUACUCUUGUUAUAUUUUUUACCAACUUUGAGGUGCCGAGCAAUGUUAUUAGAAUGGUACAAUUUGAGUUGAUUCACGAGUCCAAUAUGAAUCUAUGGGUGAAUCGAAAUUAGUCAAGAAUCAAAUGUGAAUCGAUCAAAUCGGAUGAGAAUUAUAAUGAAUCAGUAUAUUCAGUUAGAUUCACUUACCCUCACUGGGAAUUUGGAUCUAGGUUAUGCUUUUCUAAUAGGAAGAUGUUUACAUCCCAAGUAGGCAAGUAACAGCAGGCUCAGGCAGAAGAAAGGUCGAGAUGACGAAAGAAAAGGAAAAAAAAGGGGAAAAGAAAGGAUGUUUUGAAAGACUUGAAGUGGGUAGGUGGAGAGAGAAAUAAAGUCGGGCUUUUGGGUUGGAGUCUUCGCGCGUUAGUAGGUUAGGUCAUAGGUGGAUGAGGUGCAGUGUAAUAUUUGAUGUAUUGUGAAUUGUGCCAUUGUGAUUGUAGAGAGAGUCAAAGUAAUGUAUUAUGUGAAUAGUGAAACUGCGAUUAUGAAUGUGCAUUAUGAUUGUGGUGAUAGAAUUGUUAAUGUGAAUUGUGAUUAUAGAAUUGUGAGUAUCAACGUUUGAUGUUUGGUACUUAACUUUAUUAUAUUUUGGUUUAUGUUACUUGAAUGUUAAUGAAUUUUUGGAUUUUUUUUCUUUUUUGCGCCUCAAGUUGCCCAGGCGUGCGCCUGCGCCUAGGCUCCAAACUCCCUUUGCGCUUUGGUGCCCCUUGAGCCUUUCACAACUAUGUGAUAUUCAAAGAGGUCCACCUUAUGUUGGGUCUCAUCAGAAGAGCAGAAACAGCUGCCAGCUUCAUUACAGGAGAAUGUCGGAGGACAACAGGAUUAUACUUAUGGCAUUAAAAGAGUGAAUACUGCAGACUUAUUUUCACUUCCAUUGUGAGUAAACUCUGACUGCCAUGUUGCUGUCUCCGAGGUUCAGUAUGAAGGCUACCUCAAUUCAUUUGCACGAGAACUGUUGUAUAGCAAGAUUGCUCAGUGGGUAUGAUGUGAUCUAGUUUUUCCUCUCUUUGCCAGAAUAACUGCUGAAUUAAAGAAUUCUGACAUAUUAUUGUCAUAACACUCGAUGGUACUUGCAUUCUUUUCCUUAGUUUUCUGUUAUCAUCUUUUGAUUACUUGGUGAUACCUUCAUUCUCUGCCUUAGGUUUCUGCUACCAUCAUUAUGAUUACAGUCGGUUUCUCUUAGUCAAAGGCUUCAGAGAACUGGCUUCAGAUGUCCUUUCAUCUUGUCAGAUAUGAUCCAAGAUUAUAGGAGGAACUGAUUCAGAGAACUGGAUUCAGGUUCGACCUUGGCUGAUGGUGAAGUUGUUUUGGCCUUUUACAUGAAUGUGCUACUCUCUCUUGUCAUUGGUUACAAGCUUAUCCGAUCCUUCCUCCAAUAAAUAGGAGAGAGAUUUGUGUUCUGCUGUUAACCCCUUCAUUGACUUCCUGCUGCAUCUGACAUCGCCAUAAAAGGAUAACCCUGAGAGCAGAGAUGUUGAGGACUCAUUUCAGACCGCAAGACAGUAAUUCAGGGAAGAGAAUAUUGAUAUUUGUUUUGGAGAGAACCUACUCAUUUCCGCUGUUAUUUUCGUAUGGCCUUACAAUAAUGGAAUUUAGGACCACGAAAACCCUCGAGCUUUCAACUUGGACCGAUGAUGCCUCUGAUAAGUUGAAGCUGGGAAAAACCAUUUAUUUGGGCUCUGAGACUUUGGUCGUGUAGGCCCUAGAGGCUCGAACUAGGAACAAGUCUACUGAAGCGCAAAAGUCUAAAUUGCACUCUAAACGCAAAAUGAGCCUGCGGGCCAAUAUUGACGGAUGGUCACUUUAACUGGGUCAAUUCCCAAAAUUCAAUUUACUAGGCUUAUCCAGGCUCAAAUCCAAUUUUAUUGGGCUUCUAUGUUU